UAGCAUACGCUUGUCUCAAAGAUUAAGCCAUGCAUGUCUAAGUAUAAACAAAUCUAUACUGUGAAACUGCGAAUGGCUCAUUAUAUCAGUUAUAGUUUAUUUGAAGGUCCUUGCUACUUGGAUAACCGUAGUAAUUCUAGAGCUAAUACAUGCAUCAAACCCCGACUUUUGGAAGGGGUGUAUUUAUUAGAUGGAAACCAAUGCGGGGCAACCCGGUAAAUGGUGAUUCAUAAUAACUUUCGGAUCGGUCUUCGGAUCGAUGCUUCAUUCAAGUUU
rnacentral:rRNA from 1 species